rnacentral:rRNA from 1 species
UACGUAGGGCGCAAGCGUUGUCCGGAAUUAUUGGGCGUAAAGAGCUCGUAGGUGGCGUGUCGCGUCUGCCGUGAAAGCCCAUGGCUUAACUGUGGGUCUGCGGUGGAUACGGGCAGGCUGGAGGCUGGUAGGGGCAAGCGGAAUUCCUGGUGUAGCGGUGAAAUGCGCAGAUAUCAGGAGGAACACCGGUGGCGAAGGCGGCUUCCUGGACCGACACUGACGCUGAGGCGCGAAAGCUAGGGGAGCAAACGGG